AGAGUUUGACCCUGGCUCAGGAUGAACGCUAGCGGCAGGCCUAAUACAUGCAAGUCGAGGGGUAACAGGUGUAGCAAUACAUGCUGACGACCGGCGCACGGGUGCGUAACACGUAUAUAAUCUACCUUUUACUGGAGAAUAGCCCGAAGAAAUUCGGAUUAAUACUCCAUAAUAAUAUUGAGGGGCAUCUCUUGAUAUUUAAAGUUCAGACGGUAAAAGAUGAGUAUGCGCGAUAUUAGCUAGUUGGUGAGGUAACGGCUCACCAAGGCGACGAUAUCUAGGGGUACUGAGAGGUUACACCCCCACACUGGUACUGAGACACGGACCAGACUCCUACGGGAGGCAGCAGUAAGGAAUAUUGGACAAUGGUCGCAAGACUGAUCCAGCCAUGCCGCGUGCAGGAUGACUGCCCUAUGGGUUGUAAACUGCUUUUAUACGGGAAUAAACCCGGGUACGUGUACCCGGCUGAAUGUACUGUAAGAAUAAGGGUCGGCUAACUUCGUGCCAGCAGCCGCGGUAAGACGGAGGACCCAAGCGUUAUCCGGAUUCAUUGGGUUUAAAGGGUGCGUAGGCGGGUUGAUAAGUCAGUGGUGAAAGCCCAACGCUUAACGUUGGAACUGCCAUUGAUACUGUCGAUCUUGAAUGUGUUUGAUGUGGGCGGAAUAUGACAUGUAGCGGUGAAAUGCUUAGAUAUGUCAUAGAACACCGAUUGCGAAGGCAGCUCACAAAGCCACUAUUGACGCUGAGGCACGAAAGCGUGGGGAUCAAACAGGAUUAGAUACCCUGGUAGUCCACGCCGUAAACUUUGAUCACUCGCUGUUGGCGAUACACUGUCAGCGGCUAAGCGAAAGCGUUAAGUGAUCCACCUGGCGAGUACGGUCGCAAGACAGAAACUCAAAGGAAUUGACGGGGGCCCGCACAAGCGGUGGAGCAUGUGGUUUAAUUCGAUGAUACGCGAGGAACCUUACCAGGGCUUGAAAGUUAGCGACUUACCGUGAAAGCGGUGAUCCCUUCGGGGCGCGAAACUAGGUGCUGCAUGGCUGUCGUCAGCUCGUGCCGUGAGGUGUUGGGUUAAGUCCCGCAACGAGCGCAACCCCUACUUCUAGUUGCCAACAGGUAAUGCUGGGGACUCUAGAGGAACUGCCCGCGCAAGCGGUGAGGAAGGUGGGGACGACGUCAAGUCAUCACGGCCCUUACGUCCUGGGCUACACACGUGCUACAAUGGCGGAGACAACGGGCAGCUACACUGCGAAGUGAUGCUAAUCUCUAAACUCCGUCUCAGUUCGGAUUGAAGUCUGCAACUCGACUUCAUGAAGCUGGAAUCGCUAGUAAUCGCGUAUCAGCAAUGACGCGGUGAAUACGUUCCCGGGCCUUGUACACACCGCCCGUCAAACAAUGGAAGCUGGGAGUACCUAAAGUCAGUAGUCGCAAGACGCCGCCUAGGGUAAAACCGGUAACUGGUGUUAAGUCGGAACAAGGUAGCCGUACCGGAAGGUGCGGCUG
rnacentral:rRNA from 1 species